rnacentral:rRNA from 1 species
UACGGAGGGGGGCUAGCGUUGUUCGGAAUUACUGGGCGUAAAGCGCACGUAGGCGGCUUUGUAAGUUAGAGGUGAAAGCCCGGGGCUCAACUCCGGAAUUGCCUUUAAGACUGCAUCGCUAGAAUUGUGGAGAGGUAAGUGGAAUUCCGAGUGUAGAGGUGAAAUUCGUAGAUAUUCGGAAGAACACCAGUGGCGAAGGCGACUUACUGGACCGGCAUUGACGCUGAGGAGCGAAAGCCAGGGGAGCAA